rnacentral:rRNA from 1 species
ACACAUGCAAGUCGAGGGGCAGCAUCAUCAAAGCUUGCUUUGAUGGAUGGCGACCGGCGCACGGGUGAGUAACACGUAUCCAACCUGCCGACAACACUGGGAUAGCCUUUCGAAAGAAAGAUUAAUACCGGAUGGUAUAGUUUUCCCGCAUGGGAUGAUUAUUAAAGAAUUUCGGUUGUCGAUGGGGAUGCGUUCCAUUAGGCAGUUGGCGGGGUAACGGCCCACCAAACCUACGAUGGAUAGGGGUUCUGAGAGGAAGGUCCCCCACAUUGGAACUGAGACACGGUCCAAACUCCUACGGGAGGCAGCGGUGAGGAAUAUUGGUCAAUGGACGAGAGUCUGAACCAGCCAAGUAGCGUGGAGGAUGACUGCCCUAUGGGUUGUAAACUUCUUUUAUACGGGAAUAAAGUGAGCCACGUGUGGCUUUUUGUAUGUACCGUAUGAAUAAGGAUCGGCUAACUCCGUGCCAGCAGCCGCGGCAAUACGGAGGAUCCGAGCGUUAUCCGGAUUUAUUGGGUUUAAAGGGAGCGUAGGCGGGUUGUUAAGUCAGUUGUGAAAGUUUGCGGCUCAACCGUAAAAUUGCAGUUGAUACUGGCGACCUUGAGUGCAACAGAGGUAGGCGGAAUUCGUGGUGUAGCGGUGAAAUGCUUAGAUAUCACGAAGAACUCCGAUUGCGAAGGCAGCUUACUGGAUUGUAACUGACGCUGAUGCUCGAAAGUGUGGGUAUCAAACAGGAUUAGAUACCCUGGUAGUCCACACAGUAAACGAUGAAUACUCGCUGUUGGCGAUAUACAGUCAGCGGCCAAGCGAAAGCAUUAAGUAUUCCACCUGGGGAGUACGCCGGCAACGGUGAAACUCAAAGGAAUUGACGGGGG